CCGGGUGAGUAACACGUGACCAAUCUACCCUUGAGUGGGGGAUAACCUCGGGAAACCGGGGCUAAUACCGCAUAACAUCUCUGGAUCGGAAGAACUGGAGAUCAAAGGAGCAAUUCGCUUAAGGAGGAGGUCGCGGCUGAUUAGCUAGUUGGCGGGGUAAUGGCCCACCAAGGCAAAGAUCGGUAGCCGGCCUGAGAGGGCGCACGGCCACACUGGAACUGAGACACGGCCCAG
rnacentral:rRNA from 1 species